rnacentral:rRNA from 1 species
GAUGAACGCUGGCGGCGUGCCUAAUACAUGCAAGUCGAGCGAACAGACGAUGAGCUUGCUCCUCUGACGUUAGCGGCGGACGGGUGAGUAACACGUGGAUAACCUACCUAUAAGACUGGGAUAACUUCGGGAAACCGGAGCUAAUACCGGAUAAUAUAUUGAACCGCAUGGUUCAAUAGUGAAAGACGGUUUUGCUGUCACUUAUAGAUGGAUCCGCGACGCAUUAGCUAGUUGGUAAGGUAACGGCUUACCAAGGCGACGAUGCGUAGCCGACCUGAGAGGGUGAUCGGCCACACUGGAACUGAGACACGGUCCAGACUCCUACGGGAGGCAGCAGUAGGGAAUCUUCGGCAAUGGGCGAAAGCCUGACGGAGCAACGCCGCGUGAGUGAUGAAGGUCUUCGGAUCGUAAAACUCUGUUAUUAGGGAAGAACAAAUGUGUAAGUAACUAUGCACGUCUUGACGGUACCUAAUCAGAAAGCCACGGCUAACUACGUG